rnacentral:rRNA from 1 species
CUACGGGUCGCUGCAGUGGGGAAUAUUGCACAAUGGGCGCAAGCCUGAUGCAGCCAUGCCGCGUGUAUGAAGAAGGCCUUCGGGUUGUAAAGUACUUUCAGCGGGGAGGAAGGGAGUAAAGUUAAUACCUUUGCUCAUUGACGUUACCCGCAGAAGAAGCACCGGCUAACUCCGUGCCAGCAGCCGCGGUAAUACGGAGGGUGCAAGCGUUAAUCGGAAUUACUGGGCGGAAAGCGCACGCAGGCGGUUUGUUAAGUCAGAUGUGAAAUCCCCGGGCUCAACCUGGGAACUGCAUCUGAUACUGGCAAGCUAGAGUCUCGUAGAGGGGGGUAGAAUUCCAGGUGUAGCGGUGAAAUGCGUAGAGAUCUGGAGGAAUACCGGUGGCGAAGGCGGCCCCCUGGACGAAGACUGACGCUCAGGUGCGAAAGCGUGGGGAGCAAACAGGAUUAGAUACCCCCGUAGUC